GGCCGCCUGGCGUAAUGGCAACGCGUCUGACUACGAGUGAGUAAUCAGGAGAUUGCAGGUUCGACCCCUGCGGUGGUCC
rfam:Dichomitus squalens LYAD-421 SS1 unplaced genomic scaffold DICSQscaffold_32, whole genome shotgun sequence.